rnacentral:rRNA from 1 species
UACACUCCACGGGAGGCAGCAGUGGGGAAUAUUGGACAAUGGGCGCAAGCCUGAUCCAGCCAUGCCGCGUGAGUGAUGAAGGCCCUAGGGUUGUAAAGCUCUUUCACCGGUGAAGAUAAUGACGGUAACCGGAGAAGAAGCCCCGGCUAACUUCGUGCCAGCAGCCGCGGUAAUACGAAGGGGGCUAGCGUUGUUCGGAUUUACUGGGCGUAAAGCGCACGUAGGCGGACUAUUAAGUCAGGGGUGAAAUCCCGGGGCUCAACCCCGGAACUGCCUUUGAUACUGGUAGUCUUGAGUUCGAGAGAGGUGAGUGGAAUUCCGAGGGUAGAGGUGAAAUUCGUAGAUAUUCGGAGGAACACCAGUGGCGAAGGCGGCUCACUGGCUCGAUACUGACGCUGAGGUGCGAAAGCGUGGGGAGCAAACAGGAUUAGAUACCCGUGUAGUCCCA